rnacentral:rRNA from 2 species
GGACUACUGGGGUUUCUAAUCCCGUUUGAUCCCCUGGCUUUCGCGCCUCAGCGUCACAGGCACCCCAGACAGUCGCUUUCGCCACCGGCGUUCCUCCCGAUAUCUACGCAUUUCACCGCUCCACCGGGAGUUCCACUGUCCCCUGAUGCCGUCUAGCGCGGCCGUAGCCCCGGCUGUUCCUCGGUUGGGCCGAGGGAUUUCACCGAAACCGUACCGCACCGCCUACGCGCCCUUUAAGCCCAGUGAUACCGAGCAACGCUUGCCACCUCUGUAUUACCGCGGCUGCUGGCAC